rnacentral:rRNA from 1 species
GACGAACCGUGCGAACGUUGUUCGGAAUCACUGGGCUUAAAGGGCGCGUAGGCGGGUCGGAAAGUCCGCGGUGAAAUCCCCCCGCUCAACGGGGGAACGGCCGCGGAUACUGUCGGCCUCGAGGGGGGUAGGGGCGAGCGGAACGCUGGGUGGAGCGGUGAAAUGCGUUGAUAUCCAGCGGAACUCCGGUGGCGAAGGCGGCUCGCUGGACCUUCACUGACGCUGAGGCGCGAAAGCCAGGGGAGCGAACGGG